AAGAGUCCUGGAGGCCCGGCGGGGAGCGGGGCGAUUUCGAAAGGAAGGACUGCAGCGCCCCUCGGGGCUUCUCGGGGAGCCCAGGAGGAAAGAGCUCAAUGCGGAAUCACAUAGGCAAAGGCUCUGAUUAUUUUCCUUGCAAUCGAAGACAAAAGCCGCCAUGUUUAUUAAAAUGAAAGUCGUAUUUUUACUCUUCCCUGGAAAGAAGUAUGUGCAACCAGACCAUCCCACCAAAGUCCUUCUAGGUAGGGGGAUAGGAGAGUAUUAGCU
rnacentral:lncRNA from 1 species